rnacentral:rRNA from 1 species
GACGAACGCUGGCGGCGUGCUUAACACAUGCAAGUCGAACGGUGAAGCCCUUCGGGGUGGAUCAGUGGCGAACGGGAGAGGAACACGUGAGCAACCUGCCCCUGGCUCUGGGACAACCACUGGAAACGGUGGCUAAUACCGGAUACGACCCGCCUCGGCAUCGAGUGUGGGUGGAAAGUUUUUCGGCUGGGGAUGGGCUCGCGGCCUAUCAGCUUGUUGGUGAGGUGAAGGCUGACCAAGGCGACGACGGGUAGCCGGCCUGAGAGGGCGACCGGCCACACUGGGACUGAGACACGGCCCAGACUCCUACGGGAGGCAGCAGUGGGGAAUAUUGCACAAUGGGCGAAAGCCUGAUGCAGCGACGCCGCGUGAGGGAUGACGGCCUUCGGGUUGUAAACCUCUUUCAGCUCCGAAGAAGCGAAAGUGACGGUAGGAGCAGAAGAAGCACCGGCUAACUACGUG